rnacentral:rRNA from 1 species
AACGAACGCUGGCGGCAUGCCUAACACAUGCAAGUCGAACGAAGGCUUCGGCCUUAGUGGCGCACGGGUGCGUAACGCGUGGGAAUCUGCCCUUAGGUUCGGAAUAACAGCUGGAAACGGCUGCUAAUACCGGAUGAUAUCGCGAGAUCGAAGAUUUAUCGCCUGAGGAUGAGCCCGCGUUGGAUUAGGUAGUUGGUGGGGUAAAGGCCUACCAAGCCGACGAUCCAUAGCUGGUCUGAGAGGAUGAUCAGACACACUGGGACGGAGAAACGGCCCAGAGGCCUACGGGGGGCAGCAGUGGGGAGUAUUGGACAAUGGGCGCAAGCCUGAUCCAGCAAUGCCGCGUGAGUGAUGAAGGCCCUAGGGUUGUAAAGCUCUUUUACCCGGGAAGAUAAUGACUGUACCGGGAGAAUAAGCUGGACCCAUGACGGUACCGUAAGAAUAAGCAC